rnacentral:rRNA from 1 species
UACGAGGGGGGCGAGCGUUGUUCGGAAUUAUUGGGCGUAAAGGGCGCGUAGGCGGUUUGAUAAGUCUUGUGUGAAAUCUUCGGGCUCAACUCGGAGUCUGCACGAGAAACUAUCUGGCUUGAGUGUGGGAGAGGUGAGUGGAAUUCCUGGUGUAGCGGUGAAAUGCGUAGAUAUCAGGAGGAACACCUGUGGCGAAAGCGGCUCGCUGGACCAAAACUGACGCUGAGGCGCGAAAGCUAGGGGAGCAAACAGG